rnacentral:rRNA from 1 species
UACGUAGGGCGCAAGCGUUGUCCGGAUUCACUGGGUGUAAAGGGUGCGCAGGCGGGAGUGCAAGUCAGCGGUGAAAUCUCACGGCUCAACCGUGAAACUGCCGUUGAUACUGCAUUUCUUGAGUUAGGGAGAGGUUGAUGGAAUUCCAGGUGUAGCGGUGAAAUGCGUAGAUAUCUGGAGGAACACCGGUGGCGAAGGCGGGUCUCUGGGCCGAUACUGACGCUGAGGAGCGAAAGCGUGGGGAGCGAACAGG